GAUGAACGCUAGCGGCAGGCUUAAUACAUGCAAGUCGAGGGGUAACAUGGUAGCAAUACUGAUGACGACCGGCAAACGGGUGCGGAACACGUACAGAACCUUCCUUUAAGUGGGGGAGUAGCCCGGAGAAUCCGGAUUAAUACCCGUAACAUUAUUGAUUGGCAUCAAUUAAGUAAUUAUAGAUUUAUCGCUUAGAGAUGGCUGUGCGGCUGAUUAGGUAGUUGGUGAGAGUAACGGCCCACCCAAGCCAGCGAUCAGUAACUGGUGUGAGAGCACGACCAGUCACACGGGCGACUGAGACACGGGCCCGGACUCCUACGGGAGGCAGCAGUCGAGAAAUUUUUCUACAAUGGGCGGAAAGCCUGAU
rnacentral:rRNA from 1 species